rnacentral:lncRNA from 1 species
UUUACUUGUAAUUGCCUAGAGCUUAAGUAAAUAACAUCUUAUCAUUCCGCUACAUUCAAUUCAAAGUAAAAAUUAGGGAACAUAAUUUUUAGAAAACCCAAUUCACCCCCCCUCUUGGGUUGUCACCUUGGGCAACAAGUGGUAUCAGAGCAGGUGCUCUAAGAUUAAUUAUUGAUCUCACGAUCAAAAGCCAAAGAUCAUGACA